rnacentral:rRNA from 1 species
UACGUAGGGAGCGAGCGUUGUCCGGAUUUAUUGGGCGUAAAGCGCGUGUAGGCGGCUCGGUAAGUCUGCUGUGAAAGUCCAGGGCUCAACCCUGGAAUGCCGGUGGAUACUGUCGAGCUCGAGUCCGGAAGAGGCGAGUGGAAUUCCUGGUGUAGCGGUGAAAUGCGCAGAUAUCAGGAGGAACACCAAUGGCGAAGGCAGCUCGCUGGGACGUGACUGACGCUGAGACGCGAAAGCGUGGGGAGCAAACAGG